rnacentral:rRNA from 1 species
UAGAGUUUGAUCCUUGCUCAGAUUGAACGCUGGCGGCAUGCUUUACACAUGCAAGUCGAACGGUAACAGGUCUUCGGAUGCUGACGAGUGGCGAACGGGUGAGUUAUACAUCGGAACGUGCCUAGUAGUGGGGGGUAACUACUCGAAAGAGUAGCUAAUACAGCAUGAGAUCUACGGAUGAAAGCAGGGGGCCUUCGGGGCUUGUGCUACUAGAGCGGCUGAUGGCAGAAUAAGUAGUUGGUGGGGGAAAGGCUUACCAAGCCUGCGAUCUGUAGCUGGUCUGAGAGGACGACCAGCCACACUGGGACUGAGACACGGCCCAGACUCCUACGGGAGGGAGCAGUGGGGAAUUUUUGACAAUGGGCGAAAGCUUGAUCCAGCAAUGCCGCGUGCAGGAUGAAGGGCCUCGGGUUGUAAAAUGCUUUUUUACGGAACGAAAAACCUGGGGCUAAUAUUCCCGGGUCAUGACGGUACCGUAAGAAUAAGCACCGGCUAACUACGUGCCAACAGCCGCGGUAAUAAGUAAGGUGCAAGCGUUAAUCGGAAUUACUUGGCGUAAAGCGUGCGCACGCGGUUUUUUUAGAAAAUUGUGAAAUCCCCGGGCUCAACCUGGGAACUGCCAUUGUGACUUCAAAGCUAAAGUUCGGCAGAAGGGGAUGGAAUUCCGCGUGUUGCAGUUAAAAGCGUAGAUAUUCGGAGGAACACCCAUGGCGAAGGCAAUCCCCUUGGGCCUGCACUGAAGCUCAUGCACGAAAAAGUGGGGGGCAAACAAGAUUUUAUACCCUUGUAAUCCACGCCCUAAACGAUGUCAACUGGUUGUUGGGUGUUAACUUACUCA